rnacentral:rRNA from 1 species
CAUUGAGCACUAAGAAUUCGAACGCACAUUGCGCUAUCGGGUUCAUUCCCGAUGGCACGUCUGGCUGAGGGUCGAAUU